UACGGAGGGGGCUAGCGUUGUUCGGAAUCACUGGGCGUAAAGCGCACGUAGGCGGCUUUUUAAGUCAGGGGUGAAAUCCUGGAGCUCAACUCCAGAACUGCCUUUGAUACUGAGGAGCUCGAGUCCGGGAGAGGUGAGUGGAACUGCGAGUGUAGAGGUGAAAUUCGUAGAUAUUGGGAAGAACACCAGUGGCGAAGGCGGCUCACUGGCCCGAUACUGACGCUGAGGCACGAAAGCGUGGGGAGCAAACAGG
rnacentral:rRNA from 1 species